AUGGAGACAGACGGGGCCAUUCGUCAGCCGUAUGCCUUGACAGAUUUCUUCGUCUCUGUCCACCUCAAGGGCAGGAUUUCUGUAGGACUCACACUGGUGCCACAGUAUCAUAUCAGUCCAGGACCUGGCAAUAUGCAUGCAAUGGCAAAACCUACUGUCAAUUCCAUACCAAGCUCUUGGCACCAGAGACAUAGUGAAGAUCAGGUCAGACGAGUCAGCCUCAUGGAGCUUGUUCACAGGUAAGUGAAUGGUAGAAAAGGGGAGAAGGAAGAACAAAGAAGCAAGACCUUGCAGAAGUGAUAGGACACAGCUAUUUUUCUGAUAAUUUAGAAUCAUCUAGAAGCUCUGGCAAACACACAAAGACUUCCUCCAACUGUGGGAGGGUGAAUUCCUUUCCUGUAAACCCCUCUCCAGAUUCAUUUGCAAAGCUGAAAAACGACCAGACCAGUCCCAAAAAGAAAAGUAGUCUGCAAUCGGGAGGCCUGGCUUCUCCAGGAGCUUGGCCCAGCCCCAGCGUUGAAAAGCCAUCUUGCCCUACAGAAUGCUCCGUGCCUUCACUUCAGUGCUGCCAGGAGAGUGAACAAGGACAAAACCAGAUUAGGAGUCUUGAUGCCUUGCCUCAUGUGAUUAAGGCCUAAUCAGGUUGGCAUGCCCUCCUCAAUCAGCAGCUUAUCUCAUUAUUACACGCAAAUUGCAAGUUCCAUCUCCCGACAGUGAUGCACUAAUGGGGGACGGGGAGUCCUUGUGGAAGCCACCUGACUUCCAGACUCUUCUCCAGACCUAGGGAGCACCAGAUGUUAACAAAUCAGGAGCAGGGGUUCCGUCACAUAAAGAAAACCUGAAUCUUCCUAAAGUAAAAGAGCAGGUUGGAAAGGGGAAGGGAAGCUGAAGCUGGGGAAGAGGAAGAUGCCUGCCUGAGGGCAGUGGGGCUGGAGAGAUGGUUCUAGAAGAGAAAGAGAAAAAGAGGGACCAGGAAAGAGAAGAAGAACAUGGGUUCUGAAGGACCUUCAGGACAGACAUUCUGAAAGCAUAGACUUUAAGAGCAGACUCCCCGCCUGAAUCCAGGUUCAUAUACACACACACACGCACACACACACACAGGCAUGAAUGCACACACAUGCAUACAAACAUGGAGCCUUCAAUCGUACACACAAACUCAUACAAGUACUCAUCGACAGAUAUACAUAAAUACAUUCACUCACUUAGAACAGAGUUUUGAAAUAAUUAUCUAGAAAAUGAAAACAAAAAUACUUAACUGUAAUUCACCUGAAUUUUUUUUUCUUUUAGAAAAUAAUGAGAGGCCGGUGCUGUGGUGUGGCUGGUAGGGCUGCAGCCUGCAGAGUGCCAGCAUCCCGUAUAGGCACUGGUUUGAGACCUGGCUGCUCCACUUCUGAUCUAGUUCCCUGCUAUGGCCUGGGAAAGCAGUAGAAGAUGGCCAAGUCCUUGGGCCCCUGCACCCACAUGGGAGACCCGGAAGAAGCUCCUGGCUCCUGGCUUUGGAUUGGCCCAGCUCCCCCCCACCUGUAGCCAACUGGGGAGUGAAACGGCGGAUGGAAGACCUCUCUUUCUCUCUCUGCCUCUCCUCUCUGUAUUAAUUCUGACUUUCAAAUAAGUAAAUAAAUCAUUUUAAAAAAAUAAUGAAUUGUUGGGU
ensembl:lncRNA